UUUAAAAGAACAUAAAAACUCAAAUUUUAAGUAAGAUUAAACAUUUAAAAGGACAAAUCGAAUAAAACCAGGAUUACAAAGCACAAUAUACUGAUACAACAUAAAUGUAUGACCCAUCAUACUUCUCACUGCACACUGUCAGUGCAGAGAAACCUGGCAGGGUCACCAGAUUUUAUUAUAGGAAGCAGUUGCUCAUCACAAGUGGCUCUGAAUGCCACAGUGGAAACCAAAAUAUAUUCUACUGGAUAUUAAUCCAACGCGAAUGUGUGCAUUCAUGUGCAAACUUCAGAAACAGCUUCCAAUAUGGCAACGUACAUAUAUAAAUUUGUUCACAUCUGCUAUUUUGAAAAUACAAUACAAUAAAUAUAAGAGAAUUAACAUUAAAUUGGGGAUUUAGUCCCUUCAGCCAGAAUAAACCCCCCAUACCAGCACAGAAGUUCAAGAAAAACCAAAAAGCAAAUGAAAAGAAAUAGCAGAAAGGCCGAAGACAGAUUGACAUCUGCAUUAGUUCAUUAAUUCAAACAAGA